rnacentral:miRNA from 1 species
UUUGGAGACCUAAAGCAGGAGG